GCUUUUGUGAUGUAACUGGGGGCAUAUCCAGUUGGGAAUCAGAAAAUCCGUGGUUCGAAUCCCGGUAAAGGUA
rnacentral:tRNA from 1 species